GAGUGUGAUCAUACCAGCACUAAUGCACCGGAUCCCAUUAGAUCUCCGCAGUUAAGCGUGCUUGGGGGGGUAGUACUAGGAUGGGUGACCUCCUGGGAAGUCCUCGUGUUGCACCCC
rnacentral:rRNA from 1 species